UUUGAAAGCUCCACGGUUCCCGUGGCGCGUUGUAGGCUGAAGGGGCGUUAUCCACUUUGCAUGGCCCGGGCAUAGAUCCGUUGGAACGCGGUAUCACAGAGGGUGAGAAUCCCGUCCGUGGCUCGGGUGAAAAGAAGACCAUGCAUUGCUACGUUGCGCUUCCUAAGAGUCGGGUUGUUUGGGAAUGCAGCCCAAAACGGGUGGUAAACCUCAUCUAAGGCUAAAUACUGGCGCGAGACCGAUAGCGAACAAGUACCGUGAGGGAAAGAUGAAAAGCACUUUGAAAAGAGAGUCAAAAAGUACGUGAAACCGUUAAGAGGGAAACGAAUGAGGCUAGCAUCUGUGCCGUGGCCACAAUCAGCCGGACGUCUCGCAGCCGCGGUGGCGGUCAUCCAAACGUUGGGGAGCUCGCCGAGCGCGCCUGUAACAGGGUGUUUGUUUUCUCUGGUGGGCCUCGCGUUGCCGCGUGAACCUGCGAGGAAUUAAAUCGGCCGGUGCACUUGUGGUCGGUAUCAGGCCAACAUCAGUUCGGUUGCCAGAGAGGGGCGUUUCGGCGCACUUCUUGUUGGACAGGAACCUUCAGGGGAAGGUGGUUGCGGCCGGUCCUCGCUUUACCUCUAGGGGGACGGAGGGGAAUCCACCGGCCGUGACGUUUAUAGCCCCUUGUCGGGAAAAGGCAACAGAGUCGCGGCCCGGACUGAGGAGAUAGAGCAGCGCGCAAGAGGAGAAUUCGUUUUCCUUUUUCUUUGCAGAGUCCCCGCCGGGAUGCCGGGCGAAACCUUCUUGGGUUAUACUUGGGACUGAACCGUAAAACGGGGCAGUGUCAGGCGUCCACGAGCGUCUCGCGGCACGGGCAACGGGGAUCUACGCAUUAUACGCGCUUGUGAUGUUGGCGAAAAUGGCCCCAUCCGACCCGUCUUGAAACACGGACCAAGGAGUCUAACAAGUGCGCGAGUCUUCGGGUGGCAACCCGUGGGCGCAAUGAAAGUGAAGGCGCGCAUCUUCGUGCGCAUAAAAACGCCGUGAGGUGAGACGUCACGCGCCGCCUUGCCUUUCCUCUCGGGGGAGGGCAGCUUACGGGGGGUGUCGGGACUGCAUCAUCGACCGAUCCGGACGGGGCAGGAUUUCCGGGGAAGGAGGGGGGAGGGCAGUUUGGUUUCGGCCGGGCUGACCGAGCCCUUCCAUCCUUUUCCUGCUUUUCCUGAAAGAUUUGAGUAAGAGCGUACCUGUUGGGACCCGAAAGAUGGUGAACUAUGCCUGAACAGGGUGAAGUCUGAGGAAACUCAGAUGGAAGCUCGCAGCGAUUCUGACGUGCAAAUCGAUCGUCUGAUUUGGGUAUAGGGGCGAAAGACUAAUCGAACCAUCUAGUAGCUGGUUCCCUCCGAAAUUUCCCUAAGGAUAGCUGGAACUCGAAAAGCAGUUUUAUCAGGUAAAGCGAAUGAUUAGAGGCCUUGGGGUCGAAAUGACCUCAACCUAUUCUCAAACUUUAAAUGGGUAAGAAGUCCGGCUUGCUUAAGUGAAGUCGGGCGAAAAACAGAAUGCAGUUGAGUUCCAAGUGGGCCAUUUUUGGUAAGCAGAACUGGCGAUGCGGGAUGAACCGAACGCGAAGUUAAAGUGCCAAAGUUCACGCUCACCCAGAACCCAAAAAAGGUGUUGGCUGAUGAAGACAGCAGGACGGUGGCCAUGGAAGUCGGAACCCGCCAAGGAGUGUGUAACAACUCACCUGCCGAAUCAGCCAGCCCUGAAAAUGGAUGGCGCUCAAGCGUGACACUUAUACUUCGCCGUCGCCGCAACAGGAAUUUUUUGAGAAUGUCUCAGUUGCGCGGCGACGAGUAGGAGGGCGUGGAGGUAAUUUGUGAAGCAGCUUU
rnacentral:rRNA from 1 species